UCUGAAGUAGUAUAUUAUUCCUGAUUAUAAAGUAGAAAGUUUUUAUAUUCCUUUUUGAAAGAAUUAAAAGGGAGUGAUUUAAGGAAAACCGGUUAGUCUCCCAUAAUUGAGAAGCAAAAAAAUGAAAAUUUGCCAUAGUUUGUUCUAGCAGCUGGCCGAUAGUAAUUAUCUUGGGAUGCAUACCUUGUAUUAUAAGAAUGCACACUAGAUACAGAUACUAACAGUUCUGAGAAUAGUUCUGGAAUCUCAUUACCUCUGUUCCUUAUUUGACUGACAAAUGUUGCUGUUUUAAAUUUAAUCAAAUUAUCCAGCUUUAAGAUCCCAAGUAAUUUGUAAUAUGGACUCGGAUUUUCACGUCUAUUUGCGAAAAAUAUACACUUAACACACUUGUUAAGUUUUGAUGAUAACUGAUUUAACUUACUUUUGUAAGUAGUUCCCCAACUCAUUAAGCC